UACGUAGGGUGCAAGCGUUGUCCGGAAUUAUUGGGCGUAAAGAGCUCGUAGGCGGUUUGUCGCGUCUGCUGUGAAAAUCCAGGGCUUAACCCUGGACCUGCAGUGGGUACGGGCAGACUGGAGUGCGGUAGGGGAGAUCGGAAUUCCUGGUGUAGCGGUGAAAUGCGCAGAUAUCAGGAGGAACACCGGUGGCGAAGGCGGGUCUCUGGGCCGAUACUGACGCUGAGGAGCGAAAGCGUGGGGAGCAAACAGG
rnacentral:rRNA from 1 species